UACAGAGACUGCAAGCGUUAUUCGGAUUCACUGGGCGUAAAGGGUGCGCAGGCGGUUGUGUGUGUCAGGUGUGAAAGCCCGGGGCUUAACCCCGGAAUUGCGCCUGAAACUACAUGACUAGAGCAUUGGAGAGGGUAGCGGAAUUCACGGUGUAGCAGUGAAAUGCGUAGAUAUCGUGAGGAACACCAGAGGCGAAGGCGGCUACCUGGACAAUUGCUGGCGCUCAGGCACGAAAGCGUGGGGAGCAAAAGGG
rnacentral:rRNA from 1 species